CAGGUCAAAUCCACACCUAACCUCGGUACCAAGUCUGGUGGGCUGACAGGCCAAUCCACACCUAACCUGGUACCAGUCUGGUGGCUGACAGGCCAAUCCACACCUAACCUGGUACCAUGUUCUGGUGGGCUGACAGGCCAAAUCCACACCAUACCUGGUACCAAGUUCUGGUGGGCUGACAGGCCAAAUCCACACCAUACCUGGUACCAAGUCUGGUGGGCUGACAGGCCAAUCCACACCAUACCUGGUACCAAGUUCUGGUGGGCUGACAGGCCAAAUCCACACCUAACCUGGUACCAAGUUCUGGUGGCUUACAGGCCAAAUCCACACCAUACCUGGUACCAGUUCUGGUGGGCUGACAGGCCAAAUCCCACCAUACCUGGUACCAAGUUCUGGUGGGCUGACAGGCCAAAUCCACACCACACCUGGUACCAAGUUCUGGUGGGCUGACAGGCCAAAUCCACACCACACCUGGUAACCAGUUCUGUGGGCUGACAGGCCAAAUCCACACCAUACCUGGUACCAAGUUCUGGUGGGCUGACAGGCCAAAUCCGCAACAUACCUGGUACCAAGUUCUGGUGGGCUGACAGGCUAAAUCCACACCAUACCUGGUACCAAGUUCUGGUGGGCUGACAGGCCAAAUCCACACCUAACCUGGUACCAAGUUCUGGUGGGCUGACAGGCCAAUCCACACCUAACCUGGUACCAAGUUCUGGUGGGCUGACAGGCCAAAUCACACCAACCUGGUACCAUGUUCUGGUGGGUGACAGGCCAAUCCACACCUAACCUGGUACCUGUUCUGGUGGGCUGACAGGCCAAUCCACACCAUACCUGGUACCAAGGUUCUGGUGGGCUGACAGGCCAAAUCCACACCAUACCUGGUACCAAGUUCUGGUGGGCUGACAGGCCAAAUCCACACCAUACCUGGUACCAGUUUGGUGGGCUGACAGGCCAAAUCCACACCACACCUGUACCAAGUUCUGGUGGGCGUGACAGGCCAAAUCCACACCAUACCUGGUACCAUGUUCUGGUGGGCUGACGGGCCAAAUCCACACCCUACCUGAUACCCAGUUUGGUGGGCUUACAGGCCAAAUCCACACCUAACCUGGUACCAAGUUCUGGUGGGCUGACGGGCCAAAUCCACACCUAACCUGGUAUCUUCACGUCAAAAUGAAUCUUUUUUCCAAAUUACUCAAUUUUUUCCCCCAUGAUUAUGGUUCAGCUAUUCUGCUUUGAGUCAAUGGAAGUAGGGCUUGUCUUUUACACCAAAACCGUGUCAAUACAAUAAUAUAUAUGAAGAGGUGUUAUGGGAAACACAUUUAAUCAUAUGGAGUUGGUGUGCAGUAGAUGUACAGUCUUGUUUCUUGUGAGAUGGUAAUCCACUAGGUCAGUGGGGCACGCAAGAUUUGGCCCCCUAUUCUCUAUAUUAGUGCACUUACCCGGGUUUAAAAAAGUAGUUCACUAUGUAGGGGAUAGUGUGCCGUUUGGGAGGUGUGCUGAGAUCCAUGUGAGUCGUGUACAGGAUGUUUUGAAGUGUUUCAGCCCGGGCUGAGUUGAGUUCACUCCAGUGUUUUCUUAAAGAGGCGUCUUAAUAUAGAGGAAGCGUCUCCAUGGAUAUAAAGGGGAAAUGUCAUGUGACUUCCGUCUGUCUGGGGGGGGGGGGGGGGGGGGGUCCACGAUGUUAAAGGAGUUUCUCUGACCUCCAUUUUCUCCUUCAGUCCCUUACAAUUGUGAUCCUUGAUUUAUUUAUAUUUUAAUUUGUUUUAAACCAACGUUCUUUUACAGCAGUUGUUUCAUUACUCCGUGAUGUAAAAGAUUUGCAGACCACAAUGCAAAUGUACAGUAGUAACAAUUUAUUUUAGAACCUACCACUGUAUGUAAAUAUGAUUUAAAUUAAAUAAUGAUUGAAUGUGAAUGUUUUUUCACUUUUCAUAUCCUGUGAUUCUACCAUCAUAAAA
ensembl:lncRNA